GGGUUUCAUAUCUACCUCAUUUUGCACCACAAGACGACGAUCGAGUAUCAUGAAGGGGUGAGAGCUUUGUGCCUUGCAGAGAAAGGAGGAACCGUGUACAAGCAUCCGUAUGAUCUCGGGGCCUAUGAAAAUCUACCGUCGGUUUUGGGUCCAAGUGUCUUCUGCUGGAUAUGCCCCACAACGGGACACAUAGGUGACGGCCUCCGCUUCCGAACACC